GCUCCUGAGUAGCUGGGAUUACAGGCGCCCUCCACCACGCCCGGCGAAUUUUUGUAUCUUUAGUAGAGACAGGGUUUCACCACGUUGGCCAGGUUGGUCUUGAACUCCUGACCUCAUGAUCCGCCUGCCUCGGCCUCCCAAAGUGUUGGGAUUACAGGUGUGAGCCACCGCACCCGGCCUCUGAGAAAUAUUUAGAUUGUACGCCUCAAAUGGGCAGGGACUGUGUCUUACACUUUUGUAUUUAUGCUACAGCUUACCUAAUACAGUGCCAGGCCUCGUUAAACACUUAUUGAUUGCUCAGACGAUAAAGAACUUGCUUUGGAAGGAGGAGAGGAUAGUCAUGUGCUUCUGAAUGUAUUGAACUUCUUGAAAUCUCUUUCCUCAUCAAUUUUAGCAGAGUUUCUAUUGAAACUCCUAGGGUGUGUUUAUGGAAGACAAACUGAGAUGUGCUGUCCCAGCCUUAGGCCCUGGCAGUACGCCUUGCCUUUUCACGGCACACCCACUACAGCCUUUCCCACACUGUGACACUGGAGCUGGUGAGUCAAAUGCAUGGCAUGGGAAGCCCUCUCUAGGAGGAUGCUGUGGCCACACAAGUGCUGGACGAACCGCUGGAGUAGGUGACUUCCAAGGUGUCCUGAUGUAGUAGCUAUUAGACAAGCUCCUGCAUUUGGCCAGUAAUUAGCAUGCUGCUGCACAUUGCCACUAGGUGGUGCUGCUGCUCCAUUCCCAAGUAACCCACAUGCAUCCCUGGCUGGGGUCAGCCUUGGGGUUUCCCAAGUGUAGAGGAAUCCAUCUCUGUGCCUGUGGUAAUGGCUGGACACCAGGAGAGACCCAGAAAACAGGGAUAUCCUAGAAGAGAAAGGCAAAAUAAGCACUCAGAGCAGAGGACAUUUGAGUGUCAAUAAUGAAGGUGGCAGCAGUAAUCAUGGCUAUCAUUUACUAAAAAUAGUGGAUAUUGGCCAGACAUGGUGGCUCACACCUGUAAUCCCAGCAUUUUGGGAGACCAAGGUGGGUGGAUCACUUGAGGUCAGCAGUUCGAGACCAGCCCGGCCAACAUGGUGAAACUAUCUACUAAAAAUACAAAAAUUAGCCAGGUGUGGUGGUGCACGCCUGUAGUCCCAGCUACUUGGGAGGCUGAGGAAGGAGAAUCACUUGAACCUGGGAGGUGGAGGCUGUAGUGAGCUGAGAUCGCAUCACUGCACUCCAGCCUGGACAACAGAGCAAGACUGUCUCAAAAAAAAAAAGUAGAUACUGUGCUAGUCACUUGAUACACAUCAUCUCUGAUCUUUGCACUGAGCGAGGCAUGUGUAUUAUGUCUGCAUUACAAAAGGGGAAAAAUUAAGGUUCAAGAAGAUAAAGUCACCAGGCAUGGUGGCGCAUGCCUGUGAUCGCAGCACUUUAAGAGGCUGAGACAGGCGGAUUGGUUGAAUCCAGGAGUUCAAGACCAGCCUGGGCAACAUAGUGAGACCUCAUCUCUACAAAAAAAAUAAAAUUAGCUGGGUGUGGUGGUGUGUGCCUGUAGUCACAGCUCCUCGGGAGGCUGAUGUGGAAGGAUCACUUGAGCCCGGGAGAUAGAGGCUGCAGUGAGAUGAGACUGAGCCAUUGCACUCAGCCUAGGCAACAGAGUGAGACCCUGUCUCAAAACAAAACAGAAAUAACAAAAAAUAAGGUGACUUGCUGGAGGCCACAUGGCUGUGAGCCAAAUACAGGUCUGGGUUAUCAGGGCUCACAUACUUCUAAGUACACCCUACUGCCUUGGAAUCUGCUGAAGACCAAGCCCCUGCCCCCAAGCCAUGGCAAAGAAGGAGGGAAGGAAGCAAAGGUGCCCAGCGGGGACAACUCGGGGAGGGGCGAGGUGCCCAGGGCCCAGGAAGGCCAAGCAGCAUGUGGCAGGGCAGCAUCAGGUGACUCCCAAGAAGGAAUGAGGAGAGGAUAUGAGGAAAGAGCCACAGCACAGAGGCCUGCUGUUAGGUCAGCGGAGACCACGGCCCAUGGGACCUGGAUCUACCCUUGAUGCUAACAAUGUUCUUUGGGGAAAAAAUCUAUAAUCACAAAGUUUCUGCAACUGGACUGUAGUCAUGGUUGCAGAACUGUAUAGAUUUACUAGGAACCAUCAAAUUGUUCACUUACAAUGGGUAAAUUGUACAGUACAUAGGUUAUCCCUCAGUAAAGCUGUAUGAAAUUUAUAGUCAUGAAACUAAUAGUGACAAACGAGCUGGGUAAGUAGGUCUCAGCUGUUCUGUAGGCACUUUGAGAAGAGGAAGAGUAGCAUCUCGGUUUUAAUAAAAGAAAGCCUGGCCCAUGGCGUCCAGCUUCUGCUUGAAUACUUUCAGUGCCCGGGAGCUCAGUAUCUCAAAGCAGCCCACUCCUGUUUAAGAGAACUCUAAACCUUAGAAUGUUGAAAUACAUCAUUAUUAUUCUAGUACUGCUGUGAAAAAUAAAUGUCUUUGUUUUGCCACAUAACA
rnacentral:lncRNA from 1 species